rnacentral:rRNA from 1 species
AUUGAACGCUGGCGGCAUGCCUUACACAUGCAAGUCGAACGGCAGCACGGACUUCGGUCUGGUGGCGAGUGGCGAACGGGUGAGUAAUGUAUCGGAACGUACCUUUCAGUGGGGGAUAACGUAGCGAAAGUUACGCUAAUACCGCAUAUUCUGUGAGCAGGAAAGCAGGGGAUCGCAAGACCUUGCGCUGAUUGAGCGGCCGAUAUCAGAUUAGCUAGUUGGUGAGGUAAAGGCUCACCAAGGCGACGAUCUGUAGCGGGUCUGAGAGGAUGAUCCGCCACACUGGAACUGAGACACGGUCCAGACUCCUACGGGAGGCAGCAGUGGGAAUUUUGGACAAUGGGGGCAACCCUGAUCCAGCCAUGCCGCGUGAGUGAAGAAGGCC